rnacentral:sRNA from 1 species
CUAGGAUUCUGAACACGACCCUCUUUGAGAGCUGGGAGAUAAUCGGGCCUUAUGCUUCAUGGUGGCUCCUCAAUGGCCUGCUGCUGACCCUACAGGUUCUGCAUGUCAUCUGGUCCUACCUAAUUGCACGGAUUGCUUUGAAAGCCUUGAUCAGGGGAAAGAUGGAAUCUCGCUCUGUUGCCCAGGCUGGAGUGCAAUGGCACGAUCUUGGCUCACCACAGCCUCCACCUCCUGGGUUCAAGCGAUUCUCCUGCCUCAGCCUCCCUAGUAGCUGGGAUUACAGGUGCACAUGCCACCAUGCCUGGCUAAUUUUUGUAUUCUUAGUAGAAACAGGGUUUCACUAUGUUGGCCAGGCUGGUCUCUAACUCCUGACCUCGUGAUCUGUCCACCUUGGCCUCCCGAAGUGCUGGGAUUAUAGGCGUGAGCCACCGCACCUGGCCUGCCUGUUUUACCUUUUAAGAUGUGACUUAGAUGCAAGAGGAAAGUUCUACCUUCUUCCUGUCCCUUAGGAAUGGCUUUUGUUAAAGGAUGAUAGGGUUAAGAGUUUUUUAAGAGAUGGCCUCAACCAUUUCCUAUCCCUUACCUACCUGUUUCAGUGGAUUUCAUAUUUUUCUUUUUGACAUGGGGCCCUUUUCAAAGGAAAUCGUAUGCAGAGCCGUAUAAACUGUAUAAAAGCAGAUUGUUAAGUUGCCUAGAAGUGGUGUGUGGUAGUUCACAAGCCACCACAAGGUGACCAUGCUGUGAUAUUCAAGAUACGGUUUAUAUAAGAAACUAAAUACCCACCUCACCCCACUAGUGUAUAAAAGCAAGUGUCCUAAGUGAAAGGGUAUGUAGUGUUUCAAAUACCCAUCUUAUGCCAAGAGCCAAAGAAAGGUGCCACUUAAUGAUAAACUCAUAAUUGAAUUUUGCAAGUUUUGAAGCAGUCAGACUGUAGUUAGUCAAAGGGCUAGGGAUUUCAGCCUAAAGAAAUACAGAAUCCCAAGUGGGAGGGGCUCUGCUUGAGCAGGUACUGAUACUAGGACCAGGUGAUGGUAUGUGGCCUAGAUAUUGAUGAUCUCCUGUAUCAUUAUUCCUUAUAGCUGCCAUUGGCUCAGAACUUGCUCAGUGUGCCUGUGCAUCUUGCUGUAGCUACUGGACAUCUCUGUUCUCUCCUGCUUU